CUCAGCCGGUGAGCAGGGAUGAUGCGUCGCUGGAAAGGACAGUCAGUGUGACCCCCGACCGGCCCGUCCUGACACUCAGAGUUGGAGGAAGUGGACAGCAGGUCACUGGAGGUGGACAAACUGAGUGAUGAGCUCCGCCCCCAGAGGAAGGUUCAAGGCUCUCUCGGCGUACAGUUUCCGAGGUCUGUCUCCUGCAGAAACGAACGCUUCAUCAGAAAACAUUCAUUGACAUUGAGGUAAGAUAAAGAGUUCAGUGUUCCUGAAUAUUAUCUCUCAUGUUUGUCUCUUUGUUUUUGUUAUUUCUAGAGGUACUUUUAGCAGCAACACAAUAAUAGUACUUAGAAAACACACGCUGCUGGUUCAGA